rnacentral:rRNA from 1 species
CCUUGUACACACCGCCCGUCACACCAUGGGAGUGGGUUGCAAAAGAAGUAGGUAGCUUAACCUUCGGGAGGGCGCUUACCACUUUGUGAUUCAUGACUGGGGUGAAGUCGUAACAAGGUAACCGUAGGGGAACCUGCGGUUGGAUCACCUCCUUACCUUAAAGAAGCGUACUUUGAAGUGCUCACACAGAUUGUCUGAUGAAAAUGAGC